UACGUAGGGUGCGAGCGUUGUCCGGAAUUAUUGGGCGUAAAGGGCUCGUAGGCGGUUUGUCGCGUCGGGAGUGAAAUCCACUGGCUUAACUGGUGGCUUGCUUUCGAUACGGGCAGACUGGAGGUAUGCAGGGGAGACUGGAAUUCCUGGUGUAGCAGUGAAAUGCGUAGAUAUCAGGAGGAACACCGAUGGCGAAGGCAGGUCUCUGGGCUGACACUGACGCUCAUGCACGAAAGCGUGGGGAGCAAACAGG
rnacentral:rRNA from 1 species